AGCCAUGUGAUGAGCACAAAGCAAACUAUUCUUUCGCCUUUUACUAAAGAAUACCAUGUGCUCGUCACUCAUUGUGGCAUACGCUUAUUUUUGAAAGGGUCUUCCUUUACAUGUC
rnacentral:snRNA from 1 species